rnacentral:misc_RNA from 1 species
CCGAGUCUCCAAAUUUCCUAAACCACUGUGAACAUUACCUACAUCCGUUGUCCUCGGUGGGUGAUUCUAGGCGCGUCUUCGGCGUUAAACGGGACGUUCCCGCCAGCGGACCCCUAAACUCUGUCUCUGUAAUGUUGCAUCUCCGAGUCAAACUAUAAACUAAUCA